ensembl:lncRNA
CUGCGGCAUUUGGAGGUUCCCAGGCUCGAGGUCCAAUAAGAGCUACAGCUGCCGGCCUACACCACAGCCACAGCAAUGCCAUAUCCAAGCUGCAUCUGUGACCUACACCACAGCUCACAGCAAUGCUGGAUCCUUAACCCACUGACCAGCAAGGAACUCCUCAUUUUUCUUGCUCUUUACUCCCAAUCAGAUCACUUACAAGACUUGCUAAUUCCACCUAAAUCUCUCAGUCCUCCCACCCAUUUCCUCUAUUCCAUUGCUAUUAUCUUAGUUCAGACUACUGUAAACCAUUUCCUGGAUACUAUAGCUAUUUUCCUUCCCGAUUUUAUUUCUUUCUGUUUCAUUCACUUUACUAUAGCUACAUUUUCUCAAACACAAAUCUGAACAAGCCUUUUCAUGUUAAAAAAUUAUUUUUCGUUCAUUAUUACCUUCAAGAUAAAGUCCGAACUCCAAUUUUCAAAAUCCUUCAAGAUACGAUUCUUGCUUUCAUCUUUAGCCUUAUCUCAGACCUUAGGCAUCUGCCACCCUGAACUACAUUCUCUCUGUCUCUCCCCCACCUCUUCCUCCUCUUCUCCUCUCCUCCCUUCUCCGUCUCUCCCUCUCCCUGCCUUUGUCUUUCUGUAUGUUCUCCUCUGUGCCUGUAAUGUUAUGACUCUGUGACACCGUCUUCUACUUUGCUCCUGAUGUAUAUAUAUAGAUAGAUUUUUACCUGGCUAACUUUGGCUCAUUCCUCGCAUCUAAGUUUAGGUCUUAUUUCCUCUUGGCCCAUAAGCCUGAGAUACUCUCUACUUAUCCCUGUUACAGUGUUUAUCACCCUGGACUUUAAUUACUGAUUUACUUACCGGCCCCCACCUGACUCCAUGAAGUCAGAGACUUUUCAUCUUAUUUAUCAUUGUAUGUCUAGGAUAGGCAUUUCAAAGUAUCUAUCCCAUAGUAUCUGUCCCACUCUAGGACCUUUGUUGAAAGAAUAUAUGUCUUUCCUUCUCUCUCUAUUUCCAUUGGCCACUGGACAAAUUCCUGUACACUCUUUAAAAUCUAGCUGACCAUGAAUUCCUUUGUACCUCCAUAUUGCCGUGCCUCCUUUGUGUUAACCUUUGGACCCUGUACUUACUUUAUUAUUGUCCUUGUCACAUUAUAUUGUAUUUCUUUAUGCGGUUGUCCUUUUCUUUUACUAGACUCUGAACUCUUUAAGGGCAGAGUCUAGUAUUUUUUUUUUUUUUUCAUAUUUUCUUCCUCAGAAUCUAGCCUAGAGUCUGGUGUAGUUAAACAUAGUACAUUUUUAAACUAAUUAAUUCGUAAAAUUGAAGUGUAGUUAAUUUACAAGGUUGUGUUAGUUUCUUUUUUUUUUUUUUUUUUUUUUUUUUUCUUUUUUUUUGUCUUUUGUCUUUUUGUCUUUUGUUGUUGUUGUUGUUGCUAUUUCUUGGGCCGCUCCCGCGGCAUAUGGAGGUUCCCAGGCUAGGGGUUGAAUCGGAGCUGUAGCCACCGGCCUACGCCAGAGGCACAGCAACGCAGGAUCCGAGCCGUGUCUGCAACCUACACCACAGCUCACGGAAACGCCAGAUCGUUAACCCACUGAGCAAGGGCAGGAAUCGAACCCGCAACCUCAUGGUUCCUAGUCGGAUUCGUUAACCACUUCGCCACGACGGGAACUCCGGUUGUGUUAGUUUCUGUUGCACAGCAGAGUGAUUCAUUUUUUUUAAAUAUAUAUGUAUGUCCAUAUACACGCCCACUUACAUACUCUUUUUCAUAUUCUUUUCUAUUAUAGUUUAUUUCAAGAUAUUGCAUAUAGGAGUUCCUGUUGUGGCUCAGAAGGUUACAAACCCAACUAGUAUGCAUGAGGAUGUGGGUUAAUCCCUGGCCUCAAUCAGUGGAUUAAGGAUCCGUCAUUGCUAUGAGCUGCGGUAUAGGUCAGAGAUGCAGCUCAGAUCCUAUGUGCCUGGGGCUGUGAGUAGGCUGGCAGCUUCAGCUCUGAUUUGACCCCUAGCCCAGAAACUUCCAUAUGUCGCAAGUUUGGCACUAAAAAGAAAAAAAAAGAAAAAA